rnacentral:tRNA from 1 species
GGACUGUUAGCUCAGUUGGCAGAGCAACUGACUCUUAAUCAGUGGGUCUAGGGUUCAAAUCCCUAACAGUCUACCA